UUGGUAUAGUGUGGGCCGCGUUGAUCCAAUACUAUUGGUCAUUUGUGAAUUGGGCUGGUUCGGACCAAGCCCAGUCCAUUUUCUUCUUUCUCUCUCACCUCCGUUCACUCCGGUGACCGCCGCAAGCACAAUCUCGUUGAACGAAUGGCCCAUGUCGCCUAUCGUCGUUCUAGUUUCGCUCCUCAUCCAUCGAUCUCUCUCAGCCGUUCGUAGUCAUCACACUGGAGCGGUAUACUCUUUUUUAUUUCUCCAUAGAAAAUUUAGGCUUGUAUUAUUUCAAAAGAAGAACGAGGUUAGGGAAGUGUUGGUUUUGUUCGUCCACAUAUAUUCAGAUCAUGGUGUUCAGUUUGUUCGCAAUGAUGCGAGGGUAAGGGCAUAAAUUUGUUUCUCUUAUUGUGAAGGUUAUGAACGUUCAACACCUUUCUCGGCCUUUUGGCUAAGAUCUAAUGCAGUAUCUAAAGGUUUCAAACUUUCAUGUUUUGUGUGUCGUGUUCUACUUCUUGCUUGCUUGUAAUUUGCUUGUGGUAUGUCUCGCCAAUUUUAUUUAAUAAUUACAGAUUGACGAGACAACGCCAUCCUGUUCUAACUUGGCCCGUUUGUAAUUUGUUGUUUCGUAUGCUUAUUAGACUGUAGAAAUAGAUAUGUUUUUCGUUGGGGUCUUAAAUUAGUGAUGAUGGGGAGAACCACAUGAUCAAGAUGAAGAGAAAUCACCGUAAAGUAAAAUGGACCAAGGCAUAUAGGAGGUUGCAUGAAAGGAUGUGACACAGGUAAACAUGAGUUUGAGAGGAAGCGCAAUAAACCAGAGAGAUAUGACAGGAAUUUCGCCGAAGAGCCAUUGAAGGCUAUAAAGAAGAUUGAUAAAGUCAUAGCGAUUAGGGAAUCAAGACACAUUGCAUGGAGAAUGCGUGGAAAGAAAGCAAAGGGGCUUGAAGAGGAUCUGAAGGAGGAUCGUUCCCUCACCCUUCCAAAGAUCAAAGUCAAGGUGGUACCAUCACAAGGAGAGCACAAUCAGCCUAUGGAAGAAUGAGUUUGUUACUUUUCUUAUCUCACUAUUUCAAAUAUUUACUUUUAUCACAUAUCUUCAACUACCACAUUUCUUGCACAGCGGCAGAUUGCCAUUGUCUGUCCUUACACACGCAUGGUUCUUCUGUAGAAGUUCAAUUUGAAAACGCUUAAUCAUCUUUUAUGUUCAUCUCAAUCUGAUUUUUCUUAUUAGCAAGCAUGGAAUGAGUCUUGCUGUGCCCUCUCUCUUUCUUCCUCCCUUCAUAGCUUCAUCCCAAGCUUUCGAAGAGUUUCUUUUCCGAUGUUCUGGCUGCCCUUUGGUUCUUGUUUUUUAUUUUGUUUCAAAUCCACCUUUACAGUAAGACAUUGAUAGGAUGGGUUGGGACUUGAAAUUUCAAGUUGUAUUAAUUACUCUAAAUAAGCUUUUCGACUAGUUAGGUGGUAUGUCCCGUGAGAAUCGUUGAAGUACACGUAAGUUAGUCCGGACACUCACAAAUAUACAUUAUGGAUGAGUAUGUCUCUACAAAGUGUGGCACUGAAAUUAGUAACUUUCAC